rnacentral:rRNA from 1 species
CGCUGGCGGCAGGCCUAACACAUGCAAGUCGAGCGGUAGCACAGAGAGCUUGCUCUCGGGUGACGAGCGGCGGACGGGUGAGUAAUGUCUGGGAAACUGCCUGAUGGAGGGGGAUAACUACUGGAAACGGUAGCUAAUACCGCAUAACGUCGCAAGACCAAAGUGGGGGACCUUCGGGCCUCAUGCCAUCAGAUGUGCCCAGAUGGGAUUAGCUAGUAGGUGGGGUAACGGCUCACCUAGGCGACGAUCCCUAGCUGGUCUGAGAGGAUGACCAGCCACACUGGAACUGAGACACGGUCCAGACUCCUACGGGAGGCAGCAGUGGGGAAUAUUGCACAAUGGGCGCAAGCCUGAUGCAGCCAUGCCGCGUGUGUGAAGAAGGCCUUCGGGUUGUAAAGCACUUUCAGCGGGGAGGAAGGCGGUGAGGUUAAUAACCUCGUCGAUUGACGUUACCCGCAGAAGAAGCACCGGCUAACUCCGUGCCAGCAGCCGCGGUAAUACGGAGGGUGCAAGCGUUAAUCGGAAUUACUGGGCGUAAAGCGCACGCAGGCGGUCUGUCAAGUCGGAUGUGAAAUCCCCGGGCUCAACCUGGGAACUGCAUUCGAAACUGGCAGGCUAGAGUCUUGUAGAGGGGGGUAGAAUUCCAGGUGUAGCGGUGAAAUGCGUAGAGAUCUGGAGGAAUACCGGUGGCGAAGGCGGCCCCCUGGACAAAGACUGACGCUCAGGUGCGAAAGCGUGGGGAGCAAACAGGAUUAGAUACCCUGGUAGUCCACGCCGUAAACGAUGUCGAUUUGGAGGUUGUGCCCUUGAGGCGUGGCUUCCGGAGCUAACGCGUUAAAUCGACCGCCUG